GACGAACGCUGGCGGCGUGCUUAACACAUGCAAGUCGAGCGGUAAGGCCCUUUCGGGGGUACACGAGCGGCGAACGGGUGAGUAACACGUGGGUGACCUGCCCUCAGCUCUGGGAUAAGCCUGGGAAACCGGGUCUAAUACCGGAUAUGACUCCAUGACGCAUGUUGUGGGGUGGAAAGCCUUGUGCGGCUGAGGAUGGGCCCGCGGCCUAUCAGCUUGUUGGUGGGGUGAUGGCCUACCAAGGCGACGACGGGUAGCCGGCCUGAGAGGGCGACCGGCCACACUGGGACUGAGACACGGCCCAGACUCCUACGGGAGGCAGCAGUGGGGAAUCUUGCGCAAUGGGCGAAAGCCUGACGCAGCGACGCCGCGUGGGGAUGACGGCCU
rnacentral:rRNA from 1 species